AGAGCGAACGCUGGCGGCAGGCCUAAUACAUGCAAGUCGAACGGAUCCUUCGGGAUUAGUGGCGGACGGGUGAGUAACACGUGGGAACGUGCCCUUUGGUUCGGAACAACUCAGGGAAACUUGAGCUAAUACCGGAUGUGCCCUUCGGGGGAAAGAUUUAUCGCCAUUGGAGCGGCCCGCGUCUGAUUAGCUAGUUGGUGGGGUAAAAGGCCUACCAAGGCUACGAUCAGUAGCUGGUCUGAGAGGAUGAUCAGCCACACUGGGACUGAGACACGGCCCAGACUCCUACGGGAGGCAGCAGUAGGGAAUCUUGCGCAAUGGGCGAAAGCCUGACGCAGCCAUGCCGCGUGAAUGAUGAAGGUCUUAGGAUUGUAAAAUUCUUUCAGUGGGGACGAUAAUGACGGUACCACAGAAGAAGCCCGGCUAACUUCGUGCCAGCAGCCGC
rnacentral:rRNA from 1 species